CAAUAUAUAUACAUGAUUGGUAAACAAAUAAGAGAAAAAUGGUUCAGAUGUUAAGCACUAAACCUCUUGUUCCAUCGAGUGGAUCAUAUGGAGGAGCGAUGUGCUUUGAUCCUCCUAUUUAAAAUGAUUGGAUAAGAAUUGUAACAAACCAUACUUGCAUAGGGAGUCGGGGUACCGUAAGAACUUAUAUUCCUAGUGUGAAAAAUACAUAACCUUCUAUCUCCAAAUAAAAAUAAGUACAUCCAAGAGAAAUGUUCACAUCCCUUGCCGUGAGGGUUAACCAUUACAUCU
rnacentral:lncRNA from 1 species